AACCUAAGGGCGUAAUGAAAGUGAAGGCCUUCCGUCAGGUGGGCUCAGGUGGGAUCCUGCCCCCCGGGGUGGGCGCACCACUGGCCCGUCUCGGACGUAACCGUCGAGGCGGAGCAAGAGCGUACGCGUUGGGACCCGAAAGAUGGUGAACUAUGCCUGAGUAGGUCGAAGCCAGAGGAAACUCUGGUGGAGGACCGUAGCGAUUCUGACGUGCAAAUCGAUCGUCAAACU
rnacentral:rRNA from 1 species